GCCCCGCGUAGCUCAGUGGUAGAGCAUCCGGCUGUAGACCGGGCUCGCACGGCGACAGCCCCCAGGGGCA
rnacentral:tRNA from 1 species